GAACUACCCCCUUCGUUCGGAAUUACUUAUCGUAUAAAUAUAUAAAAAUGAAUGUAUCUAGAACUACAAUAUAUCUAGAUACAUUCAUUCCUAUGACUAGUAUUUUCGGACGGAAGGAGUACAUA
rfam:Hordeum vulgare subsp. vulgare, WGS project CAJW01000000 data, contig: morex_contig_1578647